rnacentral:rRNA from 1 species
AUUGAACGCUGGCGGCAGGCCUAACACAUGCAAGUCGAGCGAGCGGCGGACGGGUGUGUAAUGUAUGGGGAUCUGCCUGAUGGCUGGGGAUAACUACUGGAAACGGUAGCUAAUACCGCAUACCAUCAGAUGAACCCAUAUUGGAUUCGCCAGUAGGUGAGGUAACGGCUCACCUCGGCGACGAUCCCUAGCUGGUCUGAGAGGAUGAUUAGCCACACUGGUACGGAGACACGGCCCAGACGCCUACGUGAGGCAGCAGUGGGGAAUAUUGCACAAUGGGCGAAAGCCUGAUGCAGCCAUGCCGCGUGAAUGAAGAAGGCCUUCGGGUUGUAAAGUACUUUCAGCGAGGAGGCGGUACUCGCAGAAGAAGCACCGGCUAACUCCGUGCCAGCAGCCGCGGUAAUUC